AAUUGGACUUGGACCUCGUCAAUUCCUAGGUUUUCGCAUUCUAAUCGCGGGAAUGAACAGAAAUUUGAGCAUAAUCUGUAUGUGCGGCUUCUAUAUGCAUAUCUGCUUGCUUUUGUGCCUAUACGUGAUUUGGAUUCACAUCAGCCCAAUCGUAGCUCGCUUUUGCAUGAUGGAGAUGGAAGUGAUGGGUCAAUUUUGUUGAGAG
rnacentral:misc_RNA from 1 species